UGAGUAACACGUAUCCAACCUGCCGUCUACUCUUGGACAGCCUUCUGAAAGGAAGAUUAAUACAAGAUGGCAUCAUGAGUCCGCAUGUUCACAUGAUUAAAGGUAUUCCGGUAGACGAUGGGGAUGCGUUCCAUUAGAUAGUAGGCGGGGUGACGGCCCACCUAGUCUUCGAUGGAUAGGGGUUCUGAGAGGAAGGUCCCCCACAUUGGAACUGAAACACGGUCCAA
rnacentral:rRNA from 1 species